CCUACGGGGUGCAGCAGUGAGGAAUAUUGGUCAAUGGACGCAAGUCUGAACCAGCCAUGCCGCGUGCAGGAAGACGGCUCUAUGAGUUGUAAACUGCUUUUGUACGAGGGUAAACGCAGAUACGCGUAUCUGUCUGAAAGUAUCGUACGAAUAAGGAUCGGCUAACUCCGUGCCAGCAGCCGCGGUAAUACGGAGGAUUCAAGCGUUAUCCGGAUUUAUUGGGUUUAAAGGGUGCGUAGGCGGGCGGAUAAGUCAGGUGUGAAAGCCCGAGGCUCAACUUCGGAAUUGCCUCUGAUACUGUUCGGCUAGAGAGCAGUUGCGGUAGGCGGAAUGUAUGGUGUAGCGGUGAAAUGCUUAGAGAUCAUACAGAACACCGAUUGCGAAGGCAGCUUACCAAGCUACUUCUGACGUUGAGGCACGAAAGCGUGGGGAUCAAACAGGAUUAGAUACCCGUGUAGUC
rnacentral:rRNA from 1 species